GAUGAACGCUGGCGGCGUGCCUAAUACAUGCAAGUCGAGCGAACGGACGAGAAGCUUGCUUCUCUGAUGUUAGCGGCGGACGGGUGAGUAACACGUGGAUAACCUACCUAUAAGACUGGGAUAACUUCGGGAAACCGGCGCUAAUACCGGAUAAUAUUUUGAACCGCAUGGUUCAAAAGUGAAAGACGGUCUUGCUGUCACUUAUAGAUGGAUCCGCGCUGCAUUAGCUAGUUGGUAAGGUAACGGCUUACCAAGGCAACGAUGCAUAGCCGACCUGAGAGGGUGAUCGGCCACACUGGAACUGAGACACGGUCCAGACUCCUACGGGAGGCAGCAGUAGGGAAUCUUCCGCAAUGGGCGAAGGCCUGACGGAGCAACGCCGCGUGAGUGAUGAAGGUCUUCGGAUCGUAAAACUCUGUUAUUAGGGAAGAACAUAUGUGUAAGUAACUGGGCACAUCUUGACGGUACCUAAUCAGAAAGCCACGGCUAACUACGUG
rnacentral:rRNA from 1 species